CCUACGGGAGGCAGCAGUGAGGAAUAUUGGUCAAUGGCCGAGAGGCUGAACCAGCCAAGUCGCGUGAGGGAAGACGGCCCUACGGGUUGUAAACCUCUUUUGUCGGGGAGCAAAGAGAGUCACGUGUGACUCAUUGAGAGUACCCGAAGAAAAAGCAUCGGCUAACUCCGUGCCAGCAGCCGCGGUAAUACGGAGGAUGCGAGCGUUAUCCGGAUUUAUUGGGUUUAAAGGGUGCGCAGGCGGAGUGGCAAGUCAGCGGUCAAAUUGCGGGGCUCAACCCCGUACUGCCGUUGAAACUGCAUCCUUUGAGGGCGCGAGAAGUAUGAGGAAUGCGGGGUGUAGCGGGGAAAUGCAGAGAUAUCACGCAGAA
rnacentral:rRNA from 1 species